UACGGAGGGUGCGAGCGUUGCCCGGAAUUAUUGGGCGUAAAGAGCUCGUAGGCGGUCUGUCGCGUCUGCUGUGAAAACUCGGGGCUUAACCCCGGGCCUGCAGUGGGUACGGGCAGACUAGAGUGCGGUAGGGGAGACUGGAAUUCCUGGUGUAGCGGUGAAAUGCGCAGAUAUCAGGAGGAACACCGGUGGCGAAGGCGGGUCUCUGGGCCGGCACUGACGCUGAGGAGCGAAAGCGUGGGGAGCGAGCAGG
rnacentral:rRNA from 1 species